AGAGUUUGAUUAUGGCUCAGGAUGAACGCUAGCUACAGGCUUAACACAUGCAAGUCGAGGGGCAGCAGAUCGAAAGCUUGCUUUGAUGCUGGCGACCGGCGCACGGGUGAGUAACGCGUAUCCAACCUUCCCUAUAGUAGAGAAUAGCCCGGCGAAAGUCGGAUUAAUGCUCUAUGUUGUAUUUAGAAGACAUCUGAAGAAUACCAAAGGUUUUACCGCUAUAGGAUGGGGAUGCGUCUGAUUAGGUAGUAGGCGGGGUAACGGCCCACCUAGCCGACGAUCAGUAGGGGUUCUGAGAGGAAGGUCCCCCACAUUGGAACUGAGACACGGUCCAAACUCCUACGGGAGGCAGCAGUGAGGAAUAUUGGUCAAUGGACGGAAGUCUGAACCAGCCAAGUAAGCGUGCAGGAUGACGGCCCUAUGGGUUGUAAACUGCUUUUAUAUAGGGAUAAAGUCGGGGACGUGUCCCCGUUUGUAGGUACUAUAUGAAUAAGGACCGGCUAAUUCCGUGCCAGCCGCAGC
rnacentral:rRNA from 1 species